rnacentral:tRNA from 1 species
GGCUCGAUGGUGGAAUUGGUAGACACGAGGGCCUUAAAAGUCCUUAGUCAGUAAUGACUGUGCAGGUUCGACCCCUGUUCGAGCUA